rnacentral:rRNA from 1 species
AUUGAGGAACUUCUGGACGAAUUACACGGCGCUUGCUGGUUCUCCAAGCUCGACUUGCGUGCCGGCUAUCAUCAGAUCCGGCUUGCGGAAGGGGAAGAGUACAAAACAGCGUUCCAAACCCAUUCAGGACACUACGAGUUCAAGGUGGUGUCUUUCGGCCUGGCAGGAGGCCCAGCCACCUUCAACGGUGCGAUUACGACCACGCUGCAGCCUGUUAACAGGAAGUGUACAUUGUCAUUCUUCGACGACAUCUUGGUGUUUAGCAAAACUUUACCUGAACACCGAGAACACCUGCGUCAGGUUCUCGAGCUGCUCCGCAAGGACCACUGGAAGGUCAAACUAUGCAAGUGUGAAUUU